GGGUUGUGAGGUUAAGCGACUAAGCGUACACGGUGGAUGCCCUGGCAGUCAGAGGCGAUGAAGGACGUGCUAAUCUGCGAUAAGCGUCGGUAAGGUGAUAUGAACCGUUAUAACCGGCGAUUUCCGAAUGGGGAAACCCAGUGUGUUUCGACACACUAUCAUUAACUGAAUCCAUAGGUUAAUGAGGCGAACCGGGGGAACUGAAACAUCUAAGUACCCCGAGGAAAAGAAAUCAACCGAGAUUCCCCCAGUAGCGGCGAGCGAACGGGGAGCAGCCCAGAGCCUGAAUCAGUGUGUGUGUUAGUGGAAGCGUCUGGAAAGGCGCGCGAUACAGGGUGACAGCCCCGUACACAAAAAUGCACAUGCUGUGAGCUCGAUGAGUAGGGCGGGACACGUGGUAUCCUGUCUGAAUAUGGGGGGACCAUCCUCCAAGGCUAAAUACUCCUGACUGACCGAUAGUGAACCAGUACCGUGAGGGAAAGGCGAAAAGAACCCCGGCGAGGGGAGUGAAAAAGAACCUGAAACCGUGUACGUACAAGCAGUGGGAGCACGCUUAGGCGUGUGACUGCGUACCUUUUGUAUAAUGGGUCAGCGACUUAUAUUCUGUAGCAAGGUUAACCGAAUAGGGGAGCCGAAGGGAAACCGAGUCUUAACUGGGCGUUAAGUUGCAGGGUAUAGACCCGAAACCCGGUGAUCUAGCCAUGGGCAGGUUGAAGGUUGGGUAACACUAACUGGAGGACCGAACCGACUAAUGUUGAAAAAUUAGCGGAUGACUUGUGGCUGGGGGUGAAAGGCCAAUCAAACCGGGAGAUAGCUGGUUCUCCCCGAAAGCUAUUUAGGUAGCGCCUCGUGAAUUCAUCUCCGGGGGUAGAGCACUGUUUCGGCAAGGGGGUCAUCCCGACUUACCAACCCGAUGCAAACUGCGAAUACCGGAGAAUGUUAUCACGGGAGACACACGGCGGGUGCUAACGUCCGUCGUGAAGAGGGAAACAACCCAGACCGCCAGCUAAGGUCCCAAAGUCAUGGUUAAGUGGGAAACGAUGUGGGAAGGCCCAGACAGCCAGGAUGUUGGCUUAGAAGCAGCCAUCAUUUAAAGAAAGCGUAAUAGCUCACUGGUCGAGUCGGCCUGCGCGGAAGAUGUAACGGGGCUAAACCAUGCACCGAAGCUGCGGCAGCGACGCUUAUGCGUUGUUGGGUAGGGGAGCGUUCUGUAAGCCUGCGAAGGUGUGCUGUGAGGCAUGCUGGAGGUAUCAGAAGUGCGAAUGCUGACAUAAGUAACGAUAAAGCGGGUGAAAAGCCCGCUCGCCGGAAGACCAAGGGUUCCUGUCCAACGUUAAUCGGGGCAGGGUGAGUCGACCCCUAAGGCGAGGCCGAAAGGCGUAGUCGAUGGGAAACAGGUUAAUAUUCCUGUACUUGGUGUUACUGCGAAGGGGGACGGAGAAGGCUAUGUUGGCCGGGCGACGGUUGUCCCGGUUUAAGCGUGUAGGCUGGUUUUCCAGGCAAAUCCGGAAAAUCAAGGCUGAGGCGUGAUGACGAGGCACUACGGUGCUGAAGCAACAAAUGCCCUGCUUCCAGGAAAAGCCUCUAAGCAUCAGGUAACAUCAAAUCGUACCCCAAACCGACACAGGUGGUCAGGUAGAGAAUACCAAGGCGCUUGAGAGAACUCGGGUGAAGGAACUAGGCAAAAUGGUGCCGUAACUUCGGGAGAAGGCACGCUGAUAUGUAGGUGAAGUCCCUCGCGGAUGGAGCUGAAAUCAGUCGAAGAUACCAGCUGGCUGCAACUGUUUAUUAAAAACACAGCACUGUGCAAACACGAAAGUGGACGUAUACGGUGUGACGCCUGCCCGGUGCCGGAAGGUUAAUUGAUGGGGUCAGCGCAAGCGAAGCUCUUGAUCGAAGCCCCGGUAAACGGCGGCCGUAACUAUAACGGUCCUAAGGUAGCGAAAUUCCUUGUCGGGUAAGUUCCGACCUGCACGAAUGGCGUAAUGAUGGCCAGGCUGUCUCCACCCGAGACUCAGUGAAAUUGAACUCGCUGUGAAGAUGCAGUGUACCCGCGGCAAGACGGAAAGACCCCGUGAACCUUUACUAUAGCUUGACACUGAACAUUGAGCCUUGAUGUGUAGGAUAGGUGGGAGGCUUUGAAGUGUGGACGCCAGUCUGCAUGGAGCCGACCUUGAAAUACCACCCUUUAAUGUUUGAUGUUCUAACGUUGACCCGUAAUCCGGGUUGCGGACAGUGUCUGGUGGGUAGUUUGACUGGGGCGGUCUCCUCCUAAAGAGUAACGGAGGAGCACGAAGGUUGGCUAAUCCUGGUCGGACAUCAGGAGGUUAGUGCAAUGGCAUAAGCCAGCUUGACUGCGAGCGUGACGGCGCGAGCAGGUGCGAAAGCAGGUCAUAGUGAUCCGGUGGUUCUGAAUGGAAGGGCCAUCGCUCAACGGAUAAAAGGUACUCCGGGGAUAACAGGCUGAUACCGCCCAAGAGUUCAUAUCGACGGCGGUGUUUGGCACCUCGAUGUCGGCUCAUCACAUCCUGGGGCUGAAGUAGGUCCCAAGGGUAUGGCUGUUCGCCAUUUAAAGUGGUACGCGAGCUGGGUUUAGAACGUCGUGAGACAGUUCGGUCCCUAUCUGCCGUGGGCGCUGGAGAACUGAGGGGGGCUGCUCCUAGUACGAGAGGACCGGAGUGGACGCAUCACUGGUGUUCGGGUUGUCAUGCCAAUGGCACUGCCCGGUAGCUAAAUGCGGAAGAGAUAAGUGCUGAAAGCAUCUAAGCACGAAACUUGCCCCGAGAUGAGUUCUCCCUGACUCCUUGAGAGUCCUGAAGGAACGUUGAAGACGACGACGUUGAUAGGCCGGGUGUGUAAGCGCAGCGAUGCGUUGAGCUAACCGGUACUAAUGAACCGUGAGGCUUAACCUUACAACGCCGAAGCUGUU
rnacentral:rRNA from 1 species